UACGAAGGGGGCUAGCGUUGUUCGGAAUUACUGGGCGUAAAGCGUGCGUAGGCGGUUCGUUAAGUUCGUCGUGAAAGCCCCGGGCUCAACCUGGGAAUGGCGAUGGAAACUGGCGGGCUGGAGUAUGGCAGAGGGGGGUGGAAUUCCGCGUGUAGCAGUGAAAUGCGUAGAUAUGCGGAGGAACACCGAUGGCGAAGGCAAUCCCCUGGGCCUGCACUGACGCUCAUGCACGAAAGCGUGGGGAGCAAACAGG
rnacentral:rRNA from 1 species